rnacentral:rRNA from 1 species
AUUGAACGCUGGCGGCAGGCCUAACACAUGCAAGUCGAGCGGGGUUUUCGGACCUAGCGGCGGACGGGUGAGCAAUGCGUAGGAAGCUACCCGAUAGAGGGGGAUACCAGUUGGAAACGACUGUUAAUACCGCAUAAUGUCUACGGACCAAAGUGUGGGCCCUUCGGGCCACAUGCUAUCGGAUGCGCCUACGUGGGAUUAGCUAGUUGGUGAGGUAAUGGCUCACCAAGGCGACGAUCUCUAGCUGGUUUGAGAGGAUGAUCAGCCACACUGGAACUGAGACACGGUCCAGACUCCUACGGGAGGCAGCAGUGGGGAAUAUUGGACAAUGGGCGCAAGCCUGAUUCAGCCAUGCCGCGUGUGUGAAGAAGGCCUUCGGGUUGUAAAGCACUUUCAGUAGGGAGGAAGGGUUAAGUGUUAAUAGUACUUAACUUUGACGUUACCUACAGAAGAAGCACCGGCUAACUCUGUGCCAGCCGCCGCCGUAA